UUCCACAGCUAUUGUCUGCAGCUGCUCUUUUGGUGACAGCUGUGGUAUUCUUCUGUGGGAUAGAAACUGUUAACACAGUUCAACACCUCUUUCUUAGCAAAACAGAAAGUUGGCAGAGUUGUGUCAGACAUAA
rnacentral:snoRNA from 1 species